UACGUAGGGGGCAAGCGUUGUCCGGAAUCAUUGGGCGUAAAGCGCGUGUAGGCGGCCCGAUAAGUCCGCUGUGAAAGUCCAGGGCUCAACCCUGGAAUGCCGGUGGAUACUGUCGGGCUAGAGUCCGGAAGAGGCGAGUGGAAUUCCUGGUGUAGCGGUGAAAUGCGCAGAUAUCAGGAGGAACACCAAUGGCGAAGGCAGCUCGCUGGGACGUGACUGACGCUGAGACGCGAAAGCGUGGGGAGCAAACGGG
rnacentral:rRNA from 1 species